GCGGGAGAUUCCUUGCUUCUCUGAUGUUAGCGGCGGACGGGUGAGUAACACGUGGAUAACCUACCUAUAAGACUGGGAUAACUUCGGGAAGAGAGAACCGGAGCUAAUACCGGAUAAGACGUUUUAUUUUGAACCGCAUGGUUCAAAAGUGAAAGACGGUCUUGCUGUCACUUAUAGAUGGAUCCGCGCUGCAUUAGCUAGUUGGUAAGGUAACGGCUUACCAAGGCAACGAUGCAUAGCCGACCUGAGAGGGUGAUCGGCCACACUGGAACUGAGACACGGUCCAGACUCCUACGGGAGGCAGCAGUAGGGAAUCUUCCGCAAUGGGCGAAAGCCUGACGGAGCAACGCCGCGUGAGUGAUGAAGGUCUUCGGAUCGUAAAACUCUGUUAUUAGGGAAGAACAUAUGUGUAAGUAACUGUGCACAUCUUGACGGUACCUAAUCAGAAAGCCACGGCUAACUACGUGCCAGCAGCCGCGGUAAUACGUAGGUGGCAAGCGUUAUCCGGAAUUAUUGGGCGUAAAGCGCGCGUAGGCGGUUUUUUAAGUCUGAUGUGAAAGCCCACGGCUCAACCGUGGAGGGUCAUUGGAAACUGGAAAACUUGAGUGCAGAAGAGGAAAGUGGAAUUCCAUGUGUAGCGGUGAAAUGCGCAGAGAUAUGGAGGAACACCAGUGGCGAARGCGACUUUCUGGUCUGUAACUGACGCUGAUGUGCGAAAGCGUGGGGAUCAAACAGGAUUAGAUACCCUGGUAGUCCACGCCGUAAACGAUGAGUGCUAGUGUUAGGGGUUUCCGCCCCUUAGUGCUGCAGCUAACGCAUUAAGCACUCCGCUGGGGAGUACGACCGCAAGUUGAAACUCAAGAUUGACGGGACCCGCACCAG
rnacentral:rRNA from 1 species